rnacentral:misc_RNA from 1 species
AAAAUGUUGUCUUUAUGAUAAUACUUCUGAGUAGUAGUUUUUUGGUGGUGGUAUCAAAUGCAAGAAAACUGGCUGAAAAUGAUCAAGUAGGGAGGUUAUUAGCCUUCAAGAAGUCCUCUGUUGAAUCUGAUCCAAACGGAUUCUUGAAUGAAUGGACUUUAUCUUCUUCAAGUCCUUGUACUUGGAAUGGAAUUUCUUGUUCAAAUGGUCAAGUUGUUGAGCUUAAUCUGUCUAGUGUUGG